GUUUUAAUAGCUUAACUUAAAAGCACUGGUCUUGUAAGCCAGAGACGGGGACCCCCGCCCCUUAAAACA
rnacentral:tRNA from 1 species